UGUGCACCUACACAUGCACCUGACUGAAGUUGAGUGCAAGCAUAAGCGACUGUAUUCUUGUGAAACAAGUUCGUACUGAUGUAUGUGGAAAAGACUAUACAUGCUGCCAGCAAUAGGUGCAGCGUAUCUGAGUGGUGAAGUCAUUAUAGCACUGCAACGACGCCAUCACAGACGAACCUAAAAAGAGGGUCAUACAGUAUGAUAAGGUCAUCUGUCAGAAAAGGCUUGGAGCCAUAAGCAUGUGAGACCUUCAUUUUGAAAAGCAAGCAUGGUGUGUAUACAACAGGCAACUGCUACAUUUCAUUGUACAGACUAACAGAACAGUUAAAACGCCCUUCAUUCCUAUAUAUAAUUCCCUAAUGCACUUAUCCCCGUGUUUCACUAGUACAUGGUUAAACGCUUUCUCAGUACAUCGGAGCCAUGGUCGGACUCCAUGCUUCACGUCUGAAACACUGGCCUUCCAAGAACUCCUUUAAUGGCCCAAACAUGUGGAAAUGGCUUGGAGUUAGUUCCCAAAGACAGAUGCAUCUCUACUGCAAGUUGGUGACAUGUCUAUUAGCUGAAUGUUCACAGAAAUGACAGAAGUGGGCUCGGCCAGGAUCAUCAUUCACGAACAUAUGGACUUUGUUAAAAUAUUUGCACCAUUCAGAUGUUUUACUGCAGCAAAGAGUUCAAACAAUUCUUGAUUCUAAAUGUUUAGAAGACAUGUCUUUUUUCACAUGUUCUAUGCUAGCAGCUCAGAUCAUGGUUCUGGUUGUACUGCGAAUACUGCACAGUUUUAUUAUAAUACGCUAACUGCAAUAUAUUGUCAUUUCCACAAUAACAACUAACACAGAGACUUUGGCAUGCACCAAAAAUUGUGUGUAAUUGUUGAUGUACUGAGGAGACGUUUACUCAUCAGUGUAAAAUAGCACUGUGCCUUUAAGCUAUUACAACGUAAGAAACAUUAAAAUUACUGGUCAUGAGCUUUGGUUAAUGUUCACAUCAAUCAUCAGAAUGGGGGAAGGAUCAUAUGUUAUUUAAUUUGGUCAUGGAAUAGUGUUGGUUGUGGUGUAAAUCCUUCAAGAACUGCUGAGAUACUGGGAUUUUCAGACUGGUGCAAAACAACAAAAAACAUCCAGUGAGUGGUAGAUCUGCAGACAGAAAUGGCUUGUUGAUAAGGGAGGGUUCGAGCAGUAUGGCCAGAGUGGUUCAGACUGACAGGAAGCAGUAACUAAAAUAAAACAAGCCUUGAAACCACAGUGUACUGAAAAGUCGACUUCGAAAGUACACCAAUUUGAAUCUUGAAGUGGCUAGACUACAACAGCAGAAGACGACAUACUUAAAAUCACAGAAAUCACAUUUUCCUCAUUUUUAUGUCAUUAAUGUAUGCUUCAAACUUGUUUCUUCACUACAUUAAGGAUUCUGAUUGGAUAAUUGCAUGAAUGAGCACGGGUACAGGUGUUUCUGUUAAUGUUUCCAGUAAACAUCAUAAAGCAUGGUCCUGAACCAUGUGAUGUGCUGUGAGAUUGGGAAGAAUAGUGUCCAGAAAAACCUAUUGAUAGUAGUUGU